AUUAUGAUCUGAAGACACACUUUGUAUUAUUUAAGAUUGUUAAAUUUUGUUUUGUAAACCAAGGUAUUUUCUAUCUUGCUAAAUGUUCCACCCGACUUGAAUAGAAGUCUUUUCUGCUGCAGUUGGAUAGACAGUUAGAUCACAAUUAGCUUUUGGUUCUACAUCCUUGAUGAUCUUCCAUCUCACAGUUCUAUCUACUACUAACAGAAUUCCCCAAGGAUAAUUAUGAAUUGAUCUGUUUCUCAUUUCAGUUUUGCCACUGUUCGCUCAACUCUUUCAUCUUCUUGAUGAAUUAGCCCUUUUUUAGUAUUUCAUGUCUUUCUGGUGCAUAUUUCAACUUGAUUUUUUCAUCAAGAAAAAUAGGGCUACAGCAUCAUGGAUCUUUCUAGCAGACCUAGUUAUAAUUGUGCUUUUUCUCUAACAGUAACUAUAAAGGUCUUAACUUACAAUGUUAAACAUAGCAAAGUUGAGCUUGUCACAGAGAAACCAUAGUUCAGCGAAGAACAAAGAGGUUUCUGCUUUGUCUCUUGAACUCGAUGGUCCACAUGCUCUGUUUUGAAAGGCUUCGUUUCAGUGUAUGGAUUCUGAACGGAGGAAGACUCCUCCAAGUUCUCCUCCAUCUCUGCCUCUGAGAAAACAAGGUCAGUUUCCAGCAGAGAGAGGGCACGCGCCUGUGACACAGAGGCUAAAGAAGAUGAACAGGGUAUGAGGAAACUCACGGCAGUGAGAGCUACCCAGUCUUUAAAGAUACCGUUCUCUCUCCUGUGCAGCCUUAGGUUCUGACCAGUUGGGCCAGGGAGCUUCUGACAGACUCACGGCCUGGUGAGAGGUGGCAAAUACAACAGUCUGCAGCCUGUUCCACUUAAGUCAAGACACAACAGAAGAGAUGAAAGUGCUGCUGUCUCUGAAUCUGACUCCUUUUUCUCAAUCUGCCUCUGAAGCAGGAAAUGAUGAUUCUGGAGAGCAAUGUGGAGAAGCAAGGUGUUAGGAGGGUAGAGGAAAGGACAGAAGUCCCUGAAAAUAUUUCUCUUGCUUUUUCUUAUGCAUGCCAAGUCAAUUAUGCUUCAACUAAAAUAAUAGGUAUUCACCGAAUUGACAACCACCCUGAAAUCCAUUCUCAGCAUUAAACUACCAUAGAUUAACUGCUUAAAUUUGGGCUUUAGUGUAUAGCAUCAGCAGAGCUCCUGAGUGAAUUAUGGACUUGUAUUCACUCCAGAACAAUCUAUUACCCGCCUCAUAACAGAAAUGCCAUUUAUUGCAAUUUGUGCAAACUAUAAAUCAAUACAUUAUUACUUAGAAGCAUGUGAGCUGUGGCUAGAUGGCACACUCUUGCAUUUGGUAAUGGCGUGUGUGUGUGUGUGUGUGUGUGUGUGUGUGUGUGUGUUAGAGCUUAGGGGAGGAAUAGAUAAAGAUUUUUUUCUAGUCUCCAUUUGAGCACUUGCCAAACUUCUCAGGAGACUCAAGGGUGGCUGCUGUCUCCCAUGUUGCAGAGAGGCUUAUGGUCUCCCAUGCUAUAACCUCUGCAUGGGAUUUUCUCUUGGAAGAGCUGAUUGAGUGCAAUUUAGAGGGUGUUAGAACCCUUUUGCAGCAGUCCCAACUCUGGCCCUGGAACCCCAAGAGGUAGCACAGACUUUCGGACAGCGCCGGUGCUCAUGCCAAACCUCAAGCCAUUCCAAUCAAAACUUGGGGGUGACACACAGAUGCCAGAACUUUAAAGAAGCCAUCUAGGCAAUGUUAAUGUGCAGCCUGGGUUAAUUAUCUCUGCUCUGCAAAAUAAGAAGAGGAAGAAAAGAGGAAAUGGAAAGGGAGUAUAGUGAUAGGUUGUAAUUUUCUCAAAUCAAAGUAGAAACGCAUCCUGAGGAUUUGAGAUGCAAGUAAAUCUGUGGGGUGCUGCUUAGAGUAUUUCUGGGCCCACUCUGAGAAAUACAAAAAAGAUAAUUUAACUGCAGCUGACAUAAUGUAAAUGCUUAAUAACUCCUUGCUUUUCUCCCUUAAAAAUACAGAUAACCGAUAGUGACAUGAUUUCAAUAAUAAUCACAGCGCAGCUUUUCUUGGGUCCUUCGUGCAGGGGCCCUGGCCUUUUUCCAUCAUGGUGCCCCAAGGAAGUGUACUUGGACUGCACACUGCAGCCGAGAGCCCAGGCUGCCCCGCUGUGUGAGGCUCAGGGCCUGGGGCAGGGAGCUAAUGUGGCUCCUUGUCCCUGGGAGACUGGAGAUUUUGCAAACGUUUCCAGGCCUCUCUCCACUACCGUGUGCCUCUCAAGGUGGUUUGCACUGUCCACACGGCACCAAGGUGACAGGAAGCCAACACACGGCUGUCAGCACCAUAAGACGAAGAACCUGAGAAACAAGGACAUCAGUGAUUCGCCACAUCCACACCCCUCACCAUGACUCUGCCAUCCCACGGCCCUUACAGGAUCUCUGACUACUUACUCUCCAUUUCCAGUCAUUUCUUCCUGGAUUUGCCAGGGGAAGAGACCUGCUCUAGCUUGUCAAUAUGCGGCUCCCUCCUCCUUUUCAUUCAUGAUUCAGAUCCUGUCUCCUCUUGUGACCUUUCCUGACCACCACGUUGGUUUUUCUCUGCCCUGGACCUUGGAAUCCUGUGGCAUCUGCUUUGCUGCACUGAUGUUUUCUGGAGCAUGUGGCCAUGACCAUGUCUUACGCAUCUCCAGAUCCUCAGCAUUUUCAACAGGAUCUAGGACACAGCCCAGGCCCAGCAGACAUCUGGAGAGGGAAGGAACUCAAAAUUAACUUAUGGGCGACCCCCUGGGUGAUGUUGAACACAUCACUUCAGGGCUUGCUGACUCUGGAAAACAGUCAGUGGACUGCUCACCUCCAUGGUCCUCCCAACUGGAGCCCCUCAACUCUUCUUAUUUCUGGCAGUCUGUGCCCCCAGGAGUCCUCCUGAGCACUGAGGAGUGGCCUGGGAGUGUCAAGGGAAGCCAUGGAGCAGACGGCGAGGAGAGCCGAUGCCUGCCCUGUCUUGCCUUGGGAGGACCUGUACACAGCUUUGGGGUUUGAAAGGCAGGAAGGAGAACGAAAUGAAGAACACUUUAUCUAUGCCUUUCUAAAGUAUGGGUAGUGACCAAAAAAAUUAGGCAUGAGCAGAAACCAGGUGGGGCCAAGACCACAGAAUAACAUGGUGACCAGGAGAGGAAAGGUCUGAGAGAGCUCUUAGGAAGCUCUUCUGGUGGAGCCCUGAGGAGUUCCUGUUCACGAGCAGAGAGCAGCAUUUUCUCAGUGACAGCCCUUCUGGGGAACCCUAACUGGAGUCAUAUUGAAUCAUGAACUAGAUUAGCCACAUUAAAGGGUUAGCUACAAUGUAUUUCACAGUUAAAACACAGGCUGUGGCCGUGGUAUCAAAACCUGUAAUUUCUGAUGCAAAUGAAUGGAGUGAAAAGUGGCCCCUAGCUACUGGGACAGACAGAAGAAUAUGUGAGUGAAAUAACAUGGCAGUUAUGUCAAAAUUGGAAGAAUAACUAUAUUCCAGAAUAGUAAAUUAUUAUCAUGGCCUGACUGGUAGAGUAACCCAUAAGGCAAGAGAUUGUGUUUUUUAUUUUAUUUUUUCAUACCUGGAUAAAAUUACAUUGUCAAUUUGGUUUAGUCCCUCUUUAAAACCUGAACAUUCAUUUUUGAAAAUAUGUGUGGAACAUAAGGUGACAUUUGGAAAAAAGCAUAAUUUUCUAAAAGAAUAUUGAUUCCAUUAGUUCUUAUAUUACAGAUGCCAAUGAAUUUAACUUUUAUAGUUCUGCUAACACAUGGAAGGCAUAAAAUGGACGUUCAGCUACCCUGGGUUUUCAACAGCAUUUCAGGGAAGCGCCUGAGCUUUAUAAAAUGUUUGUGGGCACGUACUGUGGCAUCAGCUUUCACAGGCACAAUCUCGGUAGACACAGAGGGAACUGGAAUCUUUAGUUCAGGUCCUAAGAUUGUUUCUUGUUGGUUGGGGGUAGCCUUAGGUAAGCUGCAUGGUUGUACUGAGCCUCACUUUUCUUAUUUUUAGGAUGGGGAUAAUGGUAGCUUCUUCCAGGGUCUAAUAAAGAUUAAAAGUGAAAAUCUGGAUAUGACAUUCAGCUUCACCCUCAUACAGACUCUAUAAAAAGGACUGUUGAUAUUAUUAUUAUUUAAUCCUUCUUAAUUAUGGUCCGCAUCUUUUGAAAUUCAUAGUUUCAGGACUGAUGCAGGGGAUAAAGCAAGUACAGUGAAUUCGGUAUUUUUGCAUAUUUAACAUGUGCCUGUAUCUGAGUUGAUUCUGUAGAUUGUAUGUGUAUAAUGAGUCAGUCCAGAAGAUAGCACUUCUUAAAAAUUUUAACCAACUAAUCUGAUGAAAAAUAUAGGUAUAUCUUGUCUUAAUUUGUAAAAAUAUCAUUUGGUAAAAUCACAUCAAAAUAUCAAAAUAAA